AAUUUUACUUUUAUUUCUUUUGAUGAAUUUCUUUUAUUCAUCUUUUAAAACUCUUUUUGAGUUUAUCUCGUAACUAUCUUCAAUAGUUUCUCUCAUGUUAUAGCCUAAGGUUCCCCAACUAAGGUUUAUAACCUACAACUUUGGUACCAACUAAAACGCUCCCAAAUCUGGGUCUACCUUCAAACCCGAGUUCAGUGCAUUACGGUGCUAAACACCCAACACAUGCA
rnacentral:lncRNA from 1 species